CUACGGGUGGCUGCAGUGGGGAAUAUUGCACAAUGGGGGAAACCCUGAUGCAGCCAUGCCGCGUGUGUGAAGAAGGCUUUCGGGUUGUAAAGCACUUUCAGCGAGGAGGAAAGGGUGCAAGUUAAUACCUUGUAUCUGUGACGUUACUCGCAGAAGAAGCACCGGCUAACUCCGUGCCAGCAGCCGCGGUAAUACGGAGGGUGCGAGCGUUAAUCGGAAUUACUGGGCGUAAAGCGCGCGUAGGCGGUUAAUUAAGUCAGAUGUGAAAGCCCAGGGCUCAACCUUGGAACUGCAUUUGAAACUGGUUAACUAGAGUUUUGUAGAGGGUGGUAGAAUUUCAGGUGUAGCGGUGAAAUGCGUAGAGAUCUGAAGGAAUACCAGUGGCGAAGGCGGCCACCUGGACAAAGACUGACGCUGAGGCGCGAAGGCGUGGGGAGCAAACGGGAUUAGAUACCCGGGUAGUC
rnacentral:rRNA from 1 species